CAGCAGCCGCGGGAAUACGUAGGGUGCAAGCGUUAAUCGGAAUUACUGGGCGUAAAGCGUGCGCAGGCGGUUAUAUAAGACAGAUGUGAAAUCCCCGGGCUCAACCUGGGAACUGCAUUUGUGACUGUAUAGCUAGAGUACGGCAGAGGGGGAUGGAAUUCCGCGUGUAGCAGUGAAAUGCGUAGAUAUGCGGAGGAACACCGAUGGCGAAGGCAAUCCCCUGGGCCUGUACUGACGCUCAUGCACGAAAGCGUGGGGAGCAAACAGGAUUAGAUACCCCGGUAGUCCCUGUCUCUUAUAA
rnacentral:rRNA from 1 species